rnacentral:rRNA from 1 species
AGAAUCAACGCUGGUGGCGUGCCUAACACAUGCAAGUCGAACGAGAAAGUGGAGCAAUCCAUGAGUAAAGUGGCGACCGGGUGAGUAACACGUGACUAACCUACCUUCGAGUGGGGGAUAACCUCGGGAAACCGAGGCUAAUACCGCAUAACAUCGUGAGAUCAAAGCAGUAAUGCGCUGGAAGAGGGGGUCGCGGCUGAUUAGCUAGUUGGCGGGUAAUGGCCCACAAGGCGAAGAUCGGUAG